rnacentral:rRNA from 1 species
UAUGUUAAGUGGAAAAGGAUGUGGCGUUGCCCAGACAACUAGGAUGUUGGCUUAGAAGCAGCCAUCAUUUAAAGAGUGCGUAAUAGCUCACUAGUCGAGUGACACUGCGCCGAAAAUGUACCGGGGCUAAACAUAUUACCGAAGCUGUGGAUUGUCCUUUGGACAAUGGUAGGAGAGCGUUCUAAGGGCGUUGAAGCAUGAUCGUAAGGACAUGUGGAGCGCUUAGAAGUGAGAAUGCCGGUGUGAGUAGCGAAAGACGGGUGAGAAUCCCGUCCACCGAUUGACUAAGGUUUCCAGAGGAAGGCUCGUCCGCUCUGGGUUAGUCGGGUCCUAAGCUGAGGCCGACAGGCGUAGGCGAUGGAUAACAGGUUGAUAUUCCUGUACCACCUAUAAUCGUUUUAAUCGAUGGGGGGACGCAGUAGGAUAGGCGAAGCGUGCGAUUGGAUUGCACGUCUAAGCAGUAAGGCUGAGUAUUAGGCAAAUCCGGUACUCGUUAAGGCUGAGC